CGAAGCCUCCGCCAUAUUGAUGACGUAUGACCUUCUCCUUCCAUUUCCAGAAGGCGGCUGACACGGAACGGAUCGGCUCCGGACCGAGUGGCGUCGCGGCUCAUUUAAUUGGAUGCGCCGAAUACGACAUGGAGACGGAUCAGUUCCGGAACGAGUGGCACGACUUAUUUAAUCAGAAACAGGUGUGAGUGCCACGAAGAGAUAACAAUGCGGAAAAAAAAGAACCGAAACUAAGGAAGCGAGGACCAAAUGUGACAGAUCG